GGUCGCUUAACUCAGUUGGUUAGAGUGUCGUACUAAUACUCCGGUGUUCCCACCGACAUUUGAAAUGCGAAAGUCGCCAGUUCGAUCCUGGUAGUGACCA
rnacentral:tRNA from 1 species